rnacentral:rRNA from 1 species
AUUGAACGCUGGCGGAAUGCUUUACACAUGCAAGUCGAGCGGCAGCGCGGGGCAACCUGGCGGCGAGCGGCGAACGGGUGAGUAAUGCAUCGGAACAUGUCCAUGUCGUGGGGGAUAGCCCGGCGAAAGCCGGAUUAAUACCGCAUACGCCCGAGAGGGGAAAGUGGGGGACCGCAAGGCCUCACGCGAUUGGGUUGGCCGAUGUCCGAUUAGCUUGUUGGGGAGGUAAAGGCUUACCAAGGCGAUGAUCGGUAGCUGGUCUGAGAGGAUGAUCCGCCACACUGGGACUGAGACACGGCCCAGACUCCUACGGGAGGCAGCAGUGGGGAAUUUUGGACAAUGGGGGCAACCCUGAUCCAGCCAUUCCGCGUGAGUGAAGAAGGCCUUCGGGUUGUAAAGCUCUUUUGUCCGGAGCGAAACGGUCACGGUGAAUAUCCGUGACUACUGACGGUACCGGAAGAAUAAGCACCGGCUAACUACGUGCCAGCCGCCGCAGUAACAC